GUACUCACCUGGCAGGGGAGAUGCUGUGCUCCUGAAGGUGGUUUUCCCCAGCAAGGCUUACCCUCUGCGCUCCGGGUGUGCGGGCCCUGCAACCUCCCCAGUUGUGGGAGACUCGACUGCAUCAUUUGUGGUGAUGGGGGAUUAGAAAGUUAAAGUUUAAA
ensembl:snRNA U1 U1 spliceosomal RNA